UGGGCUCGGAGUCUCCUGUACCCCACCCGCGCCCCCGCCCGGCCUCCCGAAGCUUCCCCUUCUUAGUUCUCGCCAGGCAGCAGCGAGCAUUUCAGAGUCCGCCGCCUUGAGAUCCAGCUGGAGCGCCCUCCACCGCGGGGCCACGGCUGCCCGUCCCCCGUUGGCGUCAAACUCGCCGAGACUGACUUCCGGACGUCCCGCCCGCAGCCCCUGCCGGAGGCGCCUCGUUGUCAGCCCCACAGUGGCUUCCUCGAGGGUUGCUGGCCUCCAGGAGCUCAACUCCAGCCAGGGAGAUUUCCAGGCCGUGCCGAGGGGACAGAGGCCAACCCGUCAGGCUGCUCACUGGGCGCGGUCAGUGUGAAGAGAAUGGAGAGGGCAUGUGGACAGUGCCCUCCAUUUUCCCAGGACGCUUACUUCCUGCCCUCGGGCAAGAGGCUGAAGUGACAACAUCUGCUGCAGGAGUGGAGUGAGAUGAGAGAACAGGACUCCCCAGCCCUCACCCCGCUGCAGAUACAUCGAUUUGAACAGCCACUCUUGCACUUUGAACAAAUGCAAGGAUGUGGAGGAAGGGAAACCCUUGCACAUGUUGGUGGGGACAGUAGUACAGGCUUAUGGAAAACGAUGUGGAGAUUCCUCAAGAAACAGAAAGUGAGGGGUGGGGAUGUAGCUCAGUGGCGCCGUGCCUGCCUGGUAAGCACAAGAUCCUGAGUUUGAUUCCCGGUAAGGGGGGACCCAGAAAGUAGAAUUACCAUGUGACCCAGCAACCUCAUUACAGAAUAUGUACCCAAACAAUUGCAAUUCACACAAGGAGGGGGUAUCUGCACCCCAUGUUCACCGCAGCAUUAUUCACAACAGGCAAAAUACAGAGACAGUCAAAGUGCCCAUCAAGGGAUGAAGGUACCUGGCGUGGAAUACUAUUCAGCCUUAAAAAAGAACAACCUUCCACCAUUUGUGACAACAUGGAGGAGUCUAGAAGACCCCUGCUAAGUGUCAUAAGCCAAGCACAGAAAGACAAGCACCGUGUGAUGGCACGUAUGUGUGGGCCUCAGAAGCAGAGACUGGGACCCUGCUUAUCAGAGCGGGCGGGGUGUGGCGAGCACCGAAGGGAGGCGCUGGCCACAGGGCCCACAUUUCAGUUUGGUGGAAAGAGUGGUCCCUGGGGAAGAUCACACCGCACGCUGUUACAGUCAAUAAUGUAUUUUGAAUGUCAAAAUUGCCACAAGAGCGGAUUUUAAAAAUUCUUAAAACCAAGAGAUUAAAACAAAAACAAUCCCAGAUAGGACACAGGUCCUAAACAGUUAACUUAAAAUAAACUAAAAGCUGGGGCCCAAGUGAGUUAACAUAGCAAAAUAGGCUAUCAGGGCCUAAUAAAAUUCAAGAGGCAAAAAUCAGGUCCUUGAACAAAUGAAAGAGACCUUGGGAAAAAUAAAAUGCGAAUGAAGCAGUUCAUGCCCCAGACACCAAGGCCUACCCAGCGCUAAGGGCCUCCCUGCUUUCUGUCACGGGCACCAGCACCAAAAGCUACAUAAAGACCCUGAGCCCACAGCAGGGAGCUUUCCGUUACUCCUGCUGAUCCGCACACAUGCGGCCGUUCUCCACGGCUCGCUGCUUGCUCUUCUGUGGGCUUCCCUCUUCGCUGCCCCAAAAUGCAGAGCUGAGAGCUAGAGGGAGCUGGUAACUCUCACUGCACAGAAACGAUGAGGAGUGGGCAUGCUCUUUAGCCUAAUGUGAUCACUUCACGGUGGGUGCGUGUAUGGGAACGGCACAUUGUGCUCCAUAAAUAUCUCCAACUGUCACCUGCCAAUUAAAAGUAAAGUAAAAUUUGAAAAAGCUGGAAAUAUUAUCCUCAUCUUCGAAAUAGACGAAAGAGGUCACGAGGCGCCCUUCUGUGGCCUGCUUUGCUGUGAGACAGACCCUCCGAGGUCCCCUGACUCCUGGGCCUGAGCCUGCCCCUCACUGCCUCACCUGGCUGUUUGACAGCUCCUAGGGGAGUAGAGGUGGCCUCACGGGGGACUAACCGUGACAAGGGUGGUUUCUCUGAGCAAGGUUAGGGGUUCCUAUUCACAGCACCGCAAAUAGAACUUGUCAAGAGAUACAACUGGUUUCUCUGCAGCAGAAAAAAGAUGACUUCAGGGCAGCACCCGUAACUUCCAACGUUACAGGCGACUGUGAUACAGGGGAAUAGGUGCAACACUCCCAAUCCUGCUCGGUAUCCGAGGCACAAGUUCCUGUUCUCUAAAAUCAAAGAGCGAGCACCGGGGAUUUAGCGCAGUGGCACCACGCCUGCCUCCCAAGCCCACGGUCCUGAGCUCAAUCCCUGGUACGGAGGAAAAAACUGAAGAAUGAUUUCUAGGAACAAUGGAGUUAAGAGUAGGAAAAAUUUAUUAAAAGAGACAGAGGGGAUUGGCCAACCCCGCUUCUCAAAGGUGUUUUGUAGGACAAAGCCAUGAGCUGAGGCAGGUUCAAGGUGGGACAAAACCAUAGUCAACUAGUAAGAUUGCAAGUACAGUCACUCAGACAAUACUGAUCCAAUGAGAAAUCACAAGGUGGGCAAAACCAUGAUCAACAAGUAAGAUUACAACUAUAGUUGCUUAGGUAAUACUGCAUAAGCGGGAUCCAAACGAGCAGCAAGUCACAUAGCAAGUGCACAAGGACUUUCAGUCGGGGACCUUUCCUGGAGGGCUGGGUAAGAGCUAGGUCCCCCACACUGGUGCUUAUACCUACUUAGAGAAUCAGUCACUGCUAUUCAGCCUGAGGGGAAGCACGCGGGUGUGGUAGUUCCUUUUCUGUUACAGUGCUGGCCUUCAGUGUGUCUUGACUGUCCUCCAUGUUGGCUCCUCAAGGGCUGGCCCUGUCUGUCUACAAAACAUGCAAUUAACUUACCUACCUGCAAUAACUACACUUAGGAUAUUAGCAAGCGGGCUUACAUGCAUCAGCAAAUGCUUCGCAGCAUGUGUUUGGCUGGAUGAUUACGUUUCAAAUCUCUUAAAAUUCUCCUUUGCCUUGGCUGUGUCCCUCUCUGCCUGGCUCUCUGGGCUCUUUUGGGCCAGGCAUAGGCCAUGUUUGGCUUGUCCCGUCCGGCCGUAGCAGGCCUCACUAAAUCUGAUUGUCAGGCUGGUGAUGCCUAAAUCCCUGGCCUAAUUUUAGCAAGACUCCUGUAAGGCAGGUUUAGCGAGAAUCCCCUAACCCUCAGGUCUCUCUUACCCGCAGGCUCUCCAGCAAGGGCCAUAAAUCCACAGCUGUCUUUGUUGAAGUGGAGUUGAGGCCAGUUUCUCUCCCCUGUUGCAAGAUCCUAUUACAAUAGUUCGAAUGAUCUUAUUUACUUUGAAACACGUGUAAAUUUCUUAACAUUAAUUGAAUAAAAUCUUGACACGCGUGCAUUUU